AAAAAGGUCUUGCGGCGCAGCUUGUUGCUCGCUUGCCUGCUGUGUAAGAACUUAUUUGAGAGAUUUUUCUUCUUCUCUGUGAAUUUAGGGUUUGUAGAUUCAGUAUCAUCGGUGUUGUAUUUUGAAUUUAGGGUUUUUUAUUGGUUUUUCUUCCUUUUGCUUUAUAACUCCGUGCAGAGUUCAUAAAUCCGUGAGAGUUUUCGUCGAUUGAUGCUGGAUGCUAUUCUGGGUUUUAAGGAUUCACACCACCAAUUGGUUUUUUAUUCACUUUUGGGAUCGUCUUCAUCGUCUUAGUUCGCAUCCACAUCAUCAUCUCCUCCCUCACCCCAUCUCAACUCCCAUCAACAUCAACCUCACAGGGUGAUAAGGUUCCUUGCCCAUUCAAGGGAUAUGAUGGAUGUGUAGGUGGAGUUUAUGGAAGGGGUUAUGCUAAUAGUGUCGUCUAUCGCCAUAUAUCAGAUAAGCAUUUCCCCAUAGAGAAGGAGAAAGAAACCUGCAGAACACGUAUAAAGACUAAUCCAGAUUGUUUUGCUGCUUGGGAAAACGUCUUACUUGACAUGCAGAUGUGGCUGUGAUUUAAAUGUAUUCACAUCCAUGCAUGGGAAAAGGCGUUUACUUCAAAAUUACAUAAGACAGAUGUUAUUGCAGGUCCUUUUAACGGACAUGGUACUGAGUUCCCUAUUCACGGUGUAUUGAAGCCACAUGAUGGUGGUAUGUCUAAUAAUGCAGUGGAAUCUGGUAAUUCUUGUGACAGUUCUGGUUUGAAUGAUGCAGUAGUUGGCUUGUCUUUCUCGAUCAUUAUUAUACAGUGACAUAGUAUUAUUAUGUAACAUCAAAGUCCAAUUGAAUCACGACUUUAACAACA